rnacentral:rRNA from 1 species
CCUACGGGGGGCAGCAGUGGGGAAUAUUGCACAAUGGGGGAAACCCUGAUGCAGCGACGCCGCGUGAGUGAAGAAGUAAUUCGUUAUGUAAAGCUCUAUCAGCAGGGAAGAAAAUGACGGUACCUGAGUCAGAAGACACGGCUAACUACGUGCCAGCAGCCGCGGUAAUACGUAGGGGGCAAGCGUUAUCCGGAUUUACUGGGUGUAAAGGGAGCGUAGACGGCAGUGCAAGUCUGGAGUGAAAGGCGGGGGCUCAACCCCCGGACUGCUCAGGAAACUGUACGGCUGGAGUGCAGGAGGGGUAAGUGGAAUUCCUGGUGUAGCGGUGAAAUGCGUAGAUAUUGGGAGGAACACCAGUGGCGAAGGCGGCUUACUGGACUGUAACUGACGUUGAGGCUCGAAAGCGUGGGGAGCAAACGGGAUUAGAUACCCGGGUAGUC